GACAGAGGGUGCAAACGUUGUUCGGAAUUACUGGGCGUAAAGCGUGCGCAGGCGGCCUUGCAAGUCGGGCGUGAAAUCCCACGGCUCAACCGUGGAAGUGCACUCGAAACUGCUCGGCUAGAGUCUUGGAGAGGAAGGCGGAAUGCUUGGUGUAGAGGUGAAAUUCGUAGAUAUCGUCAAGAACACCUAUAGCGAAGGCAGCUAACUAAGCUUUAACUGACGCUGAGGCACGAAAGUGUGGGGAUCAAACAGG
rnacentral:rRNA from 1 species